rnacentral:ribozyme from 1 species
CUUAUCCUACCACACGCCCUCUCCUUUACUUUGAUCUCUUUUUCAACCUGUCAUGCU